CCUACGGGAGGCUGCAGUGGGGAAUAUUGGACAAUGGGCGAAAGCCUGAUCCAGCCAUGCCGCGUGUGUGAAGAAGGCCUUCGGGUUGUAAAGCACUUUCAGUGGGGAAGAAAGCCUUGGGGCUAAUACCCUCGAGGAAGGACAUCACCCACAGAAGAAGCACCGGCUAACUCCGUGCCAGCAGCCGCGGUAAUACGGAGGGUGCGAGCGUUAAUCGGAAUUACUGGGCGUAAAGCGCGCGUAGGCGGUCUGAUAAGCCGGUUGUGAAAGCCCCGGGCUCAACCUGGGAACGGCAUCCGGAACGGUCAGGCUAGAGUGCAGGAGAGGAAGGUAGAAUUCCCGGUGUAGCGGUGAAAUGCGUAGAGAUCGGGAGGAAUACCAGUGGCGAAGGCGGUCUUCUGGACUGACACUGACGCUGAGGUGCGAAAGCGUGGGUAGCAAACAGGAUUAGAUACCCGAGUAGUC
rnacentral:rRNA from 1 species